GCAGCAGGCUCGCCCGGGGUAAUCGCACUGCAACGCCAGGCACGGCUCAGGGAGCGGCAGGUUUCCCACCCUUCCCUCCAGCAAGUGUCCACCACUAUCUUGCUGCUGGCAUGAACAGGACCCACAGAGUAAGCAUGAUUUUAACACUUGGGAGUUCUAAAACAAAUGUCCUACCAGACCAGUAGCAAAACCAGCUGGCUACUCAGAUGCAGAAACAAAGAGUUUCCUAAUAAAAGGGAGGAAAUGAAAGCAGAAGGCAGAAGACCUCUUCCAAAAAUUACUGGA